GAGGGUAUAGCUCAAGUGGUAGAGUGCAUGCUUACCAUGCACAAAAUCCUGGGUUCAAUCCCUGGUACUUUCU
rnacentral:tRNA from 1 species